rnacentral:lncRNA from 1 species
GCCGCUUGCGCCCUCGCUUGCAAAGGUCUCCUUCACCCUGGGCAGGUUUUUGUAACAGGCUCGUCUGUGUGAUAUACACGACAGGAUCGCAGCCUGCCUUUCUUUUCCGAAAUUAAUCCCUCUCGUAGAGGCACACAUCUAUUUUCAACCCGGCUUGCUCGGGUGACAUCAGACUGAGUCACCCUCAGUGACUGGAGGACGGGCCGGAGCUUUUGCAAGGAGAUUGCAGAUGAAACUGCCAAGGGCAACAGGGUCACAAGCGAAAUAGCGCUUGCAAAAUCCUCGGCUUCUAUUUUCAGGCUCCUUUUCCCUGUUUCGUUUCCUCCCGUUUUGCCGACUUACCUUCCUCGCUCCACGGGCGUUUUUCAGAAAAGGCUGCGCGCCAGGCAGGGGAGAAGCAGGAAGCCCGGGGGGGGCGUACGUCCGGCCGCCCCCCGCGCUGAGCGCGGCCGAGCCCAGCUCCCCGCGGGGCCGAAGGCAGGGGAGAAAGCGGCAAGGGAAUGAGGCCCUGCAGGACUGCUGAGGUGCAGGUGUGUGAAGCAGAGACAUCAAAGUGGAUCAUGGCAGCUUUCCUCUUCAUGCUGCAUCUCCUCUUCCUUGGGACUCUAAUUGUCCCAGCAUAUUUGCAGAUGGAAAGAUGUAAUUUGCUCCCGAACGCGACGGCAAGCAAUUUCUCCAUAUCCGUGAUACCUUCGACCUACAUGGCAAACACAACUUACGAAGUUAAAAUAAACAGCAGCAGAAGUGCAACUGCAGUUUUACUGCAAGCCUUAUCCUCCUCAAACAGCUCUGUGGGAGAAUGGAAGGACCUAAGCCAGGAAAACUGCAGUAAUAUUGCUACAGCAGUAAUGACUAGCACUAACACAACAGCAAAUUGGACAUCCCCAAGCAGUAACAUCACUUCUGUGGAAAUAAGGGCAUAUAUCCUCCUUUCUAAUAACUCCACUGAGUUCAACACGGUGACUCUGAAUAAAGAAGAGGGGAACACAACCACACCAUCACCAUCACCAUCCACCACCCCCAACUCCAUCUCCGCGGUUCAGAGCAGCACCGUCUUCAUAGCCAUCGCACAAGCGCUGCUGCUCUUUGUCACAAGCAAACUGCUCUCCUAG